GACGAACGCUGGCGGCGUGCUUAACACAUGCAAGUCGAACGGUAAGGCCCCAGCUUGCUGGGGUACACGAGUGGCGAACGGGUGAGUAACACGUGGGUGACCUGCCCCGCACUUCGGGAUAAGCCUGGGAAACUGGGUCUAAUACCGGAUAGGACCGCACCGUGAGGGUGUGGUGGAAAGUUUUUCGGUGUGGGAUGGGCCCGCGGCCUAUCAGCUUGUUGGUGGGGUAAUGGCCUACCAAGGCGGCGACGGGUAGCCGGCAUGGGAGGGUGGACGGCCACAAUAGGACUGCGACACGGACCAGACUCCUACGGGAGGCAGCAGUGGGGAGUAUUGCACAAUGAGCGGAAGCCUGUUGCAGCGACGCCGCGUUGGGGAUGACGGCCUUCUGGGUGUAAACACCUUUCACCAUCGACGAAGGUUUUCUGACGGUAGAUAGAGAAGAAGCACCGGCUAACUACGUG
rnacentral:rRNA from 1 species